AGUGAACGCUGGCGGUAGGCCUAACACAUGCAAGUCGAACGGCAGCACAGUAAGAGCUUGCUCUUACGGGUGGCGAGUGGCGGACGGGUGAGGAAUACAUCGGAAUCUACCUUUUCGUGGGGGAUAACGUAGGGAAACUUACGCUAAUACCGCAUACGACGUACGGGUGAAAGCAGGGGAUCUUCGGACCUUGCGCGAUUGAAUGAGACGAUGUCGGAUUAGCUAGUUGGCGGGGUAAAGGCCCACCAAGGCGACGAUCCGUAGCUGGUCUGAGAGGAUGAUCAGCCACACUGGAACUGAGACACGGUCCAGACUCCUACGGGAGGCAGCAGUGGGGAAUCUUGGACAAUGGGCGCAAGCCUGAUCCAGCCAUACCGCGUGGGUGAAGAAGGCCUUCGGGUUGUAAAGCCCUUUUGUUGGGAAAGAAAAGCAGCAGGUUAAUACCCCGCUGUUCUGACGGUACCCAAAGAAUAAGCACCGGCUAACUUCGUG
rnacentral:rRNA from 1 species